rnacentral:rRNA from 1 species
AUGGCCUCCCCUAAGCUCUUCCUUCUCCUCAUCAGUGUCAUCAUCUCCAUGGCAAUCACUAGUACUCCGGCGGCUGCGGCAAAUGGUCGCAUACAUCUCAUCAUGGUGAACAACUGCGCCGAGUCGGUGUGGCCGGCCAUGCUCGGCACCACCGGCCACGCCACGCCGCAGUCGGGCGGCUUCCACCUCGGCCCCGGCGAAGAGACCACCUUCGACGUGCCAGUAGGGUGGUCGGGGCGGGUGUGGCCGCGCCGGGGCUGCUCCUUCGACGCGCGCGGCAUGGGCAAGUGCGCCACGGGCGACUGCGGCGGCGUGCUGCGGUGCGGGGGCGCCCCGGGCGCCACCCCGACCACCGUGGUGGAGAUGACGCUGGGGACUCCACAGUCGCCGAUGCACUUCUACGACGUGAGCCUGGUGGACGGGUUCAACGCGCCGGUUUCCAUGACGCCGGUCGGUGGCGGCCGCGGGUGCGGCGUGGCGGCGUGCGGGGCGGACCUGAACGUCUGCUGCCCGUCGGCGCUGGAGGUGAGGGACCGGGAAGGGAGGGUGGCCGGUUGCCGGAGCGCGUGUCUGGCGAUGGGCAGCGACAAGUACUGCUGCACCGGGGAGUACGGGACGCCGGCGGCGUGCAAGCCCACUAUGUUCUCGCACCUGUUCAAGGCCAUCUGCCCCAGGGCCUACAGCUACGCCUUCGACGACGCCUCAAGCCUCAACCGCUGCAAGGCCAACCGAUACCUCAUCACAUUCUGCCCACCACAACCUGAAUGA